AUUGAACGCUGGCGGCAGGCCUAACACAUGCAAGUCGAACGGUAACAGGAAGAGGCUUGCUUCUUUGCUGACGAGUGGCGGACGGGUGAGUAAUGUCUGGGAAACUGCCUGAUGGAGGGGGAUAACUACUGGAAACGGUAGCUAAUACCGCAUAACGUCGCAAGACCAAGGAGGGGGACCUUCGGGCCUCUUGCCAUCGGAUGUGCCCAGAUGGGAUUAGCUAGUAGGUGGGGUAACGGCUCACCUAGGCGACGAUCCCUAGCUGGUCUGAGAGGAUGACCAGCCACACUGGAACUGAGACACGGUCCAGACUCCUACGGGAGGCAGCAGUGGGGAAUAUUGCACAAUGGGCGCAAGCCUGAUGCAGCCAUGCCGCGUGUAUGAGGAAGGCCUUCGGGUUGUAAAGUACUUUCAGCGGGGAGGAAGGGAGUAAAGUUAAUACCUUUGCUCAUUGACGUUACCCGCAGAAGAAGCACCGGCUAACUCCGUG
rnacentral:rRNA from 1 species